AAUGGAAGGAAAGAUAAUGUCUUUACCUUUGCCGCGUUUCCCUCGUCGUUUCCCCGUCUUAGAAGGCACAGCUCACCUUUGGGCGAAGCGUACGAACAGCGGGCAGAAGGUGACCGGACGGCACCGUUGAAUGACGACAAUACCCCCUUUGUUUUCUCAAAAGACGAUGACGAUGUCGACUUUACUCGCUGGCUUGCUUACACUCGCCCUACCAAUUUUUGCUUCAUAAUUGCCGUUGGAGGCUGGAGAGCAGCGAAAGAUCGCAUCUUCCUGCGGAAGGUUCCCCUUAUUGCCCUAAGGCCUGUGCAUGAGAGUCGAGCAGCUACCUAGCGUUUCCUGUAGCAAGUUAUCGGGGCUACGGAGAGCACCGGGAAGCCGGAGAGGAAACGACACCGUUUUGUCUCUAGUCUCCAUAAUCAAACAUUUGUCCCCUUCCGUGAUAAGAAGAUCAAAGCCCUCACAGAAGGAGCAUAGAAGGGAGAAAAUUAUGAACGAUCGGAGAAAGGACAAAACAAUAGUUGAUUGGAAUAAUGAUGUUAAAACACUCAAGUUGUCAUGGCUGAUAGGAGAAUAUGAAGUUCAUUGAGGUCUACAAGUCGAUACAGUGGCGAUCAAUAAUGAGACUCUCUUUCUUCUCUCUGGUGCUACAUGUGUUGAAGAAAGGAAACCAAAUCCAUUAUGGCAGCGGUGAAGGCAGGUUGUGAUGCUGCACUCAUGCAUGCCAUCGGUAACUUGGGAUUGAAUCGGCACAAGACUGCAUUGGCCUUCGGUUUGAAGCGAGUGGCUUUGCAGUCUGGAGAAAUCCUCACAUGGUUCUCUACCAAUCUUCGUAAAGCAACAUGCACACCUACUGAACUACGGCAGCAGCCUGUUCUGACCAUUCCACACACUGGAUUAUGCCGAGUCUGAAGCCAGUUUGUAAUAGCUAAUAGGAUAUUUUCAGGUUGCUCCUGUGGAUUAUUCGUAUAGUAAGUACCAUUGGGCUUGUUCAUGAGUUUGUCAUGCAUAUAAACUUUCUUGUCCGGGAAAGAUGUACUUGGAUUGUAGUAUGUCUUUCUGGUGAUUCAAAUGUAUCGAUGUAAGAAGUUUGUGUGAUGGUAUUUUGCGAUAUCUUUGAGAAGUUGCAUCUUUUGUCAACAGUGGUCUGCAUCUCCCAUCAGUUAUAUGAAGAACAAAAGAAUCAAUAUCAAGUGUAAAGUUUCUUAGAUUAUGACGAGGGUAAUAAUUGCGAUAAGACUCGCGUGACAUCAGCUGCCCCAGGCGACGCGUCACGCCUCUGUUGACCUGAUGAGGCACCUGGUCAACGUGGAUCGGAACGCCUACCAAGGCGCAUUAACGUCCUGUUCAGGUUCGAUCCCUCACGUCACGCCAACGGCAACGUCAGACGCUACUAGAAGUACGGCCCUGCUCCCUGCGGGCCAGCACAUCAGGCAACGGUAAUUUUCACUAUAAAAACCCUCACGCUCCAAGGAAGAGGGAGACACAGAGAACUUAGCCAAAGAAACCCCCUACGACCAUCCACUAACUUGAUCGUCGGAGGGGUCGAGUCGAGCUCCCCGACCCGACCUUUGUGCAGGUGCGAAGGCGGAGGUCGUCCACCAAAAGCGCAGGCGGGGGUUCUCUCCCGAUGGAAACGACGACCCCGUCCCGGUCGGACCGACGCAAUUGGCCGCCUCAGCGAUCCCGGGAAACGUCCCAGGGAGAUCCCCUAUCAUCCGGACCCGAACUAAGCCGCGACGGCCCUGAGGCCACGGCUUGAAGUUGUUUACACCAAUAGGAAAACCCUGGCAUUUCCCACCGGAGGCAUACCUCGAGGCGCCGGGUUAAGACCCGCCUCGACCAGCCACCCCUCGGUCAUCUCCCGGAUGACCCGAGAGGCUGGGAGAAUCUCCUUGAGCCGUUGAAGGUCCCUGCGCUCCUCAUCGUUCAGGGAUGGAGUGGUGUUGUCAAUCACGCGCGCUGCCCAUCAGAGCCCGAAGCCCCAAUCCUCUGAACGGCAGACAAAAAAGAAACGCCCCUUCCAUCCCUUAUUAUUGGAAGGGGCCUCGCUAACACGGAAGCCCACUCGGGCGGAUAGAUAGUAGCCCCCCGACCCCUUGGAAAGGCGAAAGCAGGAGAGGAAGAGGGACCGGGUCGGGGUAAUGUUGGCGUAGUGACACUCCCCUAGGAACGCCACCAGAUAGCGCCAGGAGUUCGGUGCCAUCUGUGACGGGGAAAUAUGCCACCACGAAAUGCAAGAGGCAAUGACGGGAUGCAAUGGGAGGCGUAGCCCGGCCUCGAAGGCAUCCAAAGUCAGGGCAAAACCCUUUGGGAUAGGGUCGUACGCCCGCUGCCCCGGCUCGGGGGCAGUAAGAACAAACUCCUCCGGGAUACCAUAACGGCCCCGGAGGUAACCCAGUGACGACUCGCUCAUGGUAGAGUCGAGGUCGUGCGGCUACAUUAAGGCUUCGAGAGCCCUAGCCGCUUUCUCAUUGGACGACGAGUUGGGGCUCGACGGUAAUAUUUUUCUCUCCGGCAUCACCAGAGGUGGACGGUGAAGAAGACGAGGGCAAGGAAGAAGGGGAAGCCAUCCUCACCGACCUUAGGAAGGAACAGUAGGAUAGCCGAUUCGGAUGGAGCAAUACAGUCCGAAGGAGCAACUGGGCGAAUGCAAGUAACGAGACGUGCAGGAAGCCAACUGCACGCUAUUUAUAGGCCAAAUCCCGCCAAAACGGCGACCCUUCCCCUCCUGAAGCACGUUGCGUUAGGCAGACUGAACGUCACUUCGCCAUAAAUAUGGCCUGACGUGGCAGCCAAUCAGCACGCGGUGCGAAUGCUGAAGCGCUGAUCUUAUCGGCCUCGAAAGCCAGCGACUCCCAAAAGUGACGGUCCUUUGGGCUUCCCAAGGAAGUGACCUGGCCUCCUGUGCCUACGCGUCACUAAGCAAAGGGUUGCUGAUUAAAACCAAGUUGCUCCUUGGCUGUAUGUUGCCCGAGACCACGCCUGCGCGGCUUGCCCGCUUGCGCCGUGCUCCUCGGCUGCAUGUUGCCCGAGACCACGCCUGUGCGGCCAGCCCGCCUGCGCCGUGCUCCUCGGCUGUAUGUUGCCCGAGACCAUACCUGCGCGGCCAGCCCGCCUGCGCCGUGCUCCUCGGCUGCGUGUUGCCCGAGACCACGCCUGUGCGGCCAGCCCGCCUAUGCCCUGCUCCUCGGCUGCAUAUUGCCCGAGACCACGCCUGCGCGGCUAACCCGCCUGCGCCGUGCUCCUCGGCUGCGUGUUGCCCGAGACCACGCCUGCGCGGCCAGCCCGCCUGCGCCGUUCUCCUCGGUUGCAUGUUGCCCGAGACCACGCCUACGCGGCCUGUCUGCCUGCGUCGUGCUCCUUGGCUGCAUGUUGCCCGAGACCACGCCUACGCGGCCUGCCGCCUGCACCGUGCUCCUCGGUUGUGUAUUGCCCGAGACUACGCCUGCGCGGCCAGCCCGCCUGCGCCGUGCUCCUCGGCUGUGUGUUGCCCAAGACCACGCCUGCACGAUCAGCCCGCCUACGCCGUGCUCCUCGGCUGCAUGUUGCCCGAGACCACACCUGCGCGGCCUGCCCGCCUGCGCCGUGCUCCUCGGCUCCAUGCUGCCCGAGACCACCGCCUCUGCGCGGCCCGCCCGCCUAAGUCAUGCCCCUCAGUUACGUGACCGCAGCCUCCGCUCGGCUUGAUCGACUGAGUUGCGCUCCUCGGCCGCACACUACCUCGGGGCCAUCGCUGCAACCUUCCUUAAUUAUUAAACUCCACAACCCCCGCACCCCUGGCAACAGACCGACAAACGCCCGGCAGGGACAGUUUCUCAAAGCCGAAGCAAUGCAUCGGACUCCCAUCACAGCAACCGACGCAUAGCUUCCUUCUGGGGGGGAAUAUGAUGAGGGUAAUAAUUGCGAUAAGACUCGUGUGACAUCAGCUACCCCAAGCGACACGUCAUGCCUCUAUUGACCUAAUGAGGCACUUGGUCAACGUGGACUGGAACGCCUACCAAGGUGCAUUAACGCCCUGUUCAGGUUUGAUCCCUCACGCCAUGCCAACGACAACGUCAGACGCUACCAGAUGUAAGACCCUGCUCCCUGCGGGCCAGCACAUCAGGCAACGGUAAUUCUCACUAUAAAAACCCUCGCGCUCCGAGGAAGAGGGAGACACAGAGAACUUAGCCAAAGAAACCCCCUACGACCAUCCACUAACUUGAUCGUCGAAGGGGUCGGGUCGAGCUCCCCGACCCGACCUUUGUGCAGGUGCGAAGGCGGAGGUCGUCUACCAAAGGCGCAGGCGGGGGUUCUCUCCCGGUGGAAACGGUGACCCCGUCCCGAUCGGACCGACGCAAUCGGUCGCCUCAGCGAUCCCGGGAAACGUCCUAGGGAGAUCCCCUAUCAUCCGGACCCGAACUAAGCCGCAAUAGCCCCGAGGCCACAGCUUGAAGUUGUUUACACCAACAGAUUACCAUAUAUCCAUAUAAGGCUGUGGCAGGUGUUGUUUUCUUGAGCAAGAAUGAAAAGAACAAAAAAUAUGCUCAUAAUUGUUGCCAUGAACAGGGAAGAGAGGCCCCUGAAUGGUGAUGUUGCGAGACACCACAACAGUUGGCGUGUAAUGUGGCUGAUGGAUGUCGAGAACAUUCCCAUUGGCAACUGGUAAUAGAUUCGGUGGACCGGAGAUCUUCGUGGAGAUUGUGUUCAUCACAGUGGUAAUGCACUCGUAGGGUAUGUUCGAGGGGCAGCGUGUGGAGUCUGAUAACGUCGUCCCAACCGACGAAUACUGACUACAAGCACGAGGAAUAAAAAGGACUACCGACCUGCUUUGGCAUGACCACGGACUGCUGAUGACCGCAUCCGCCACAAUAAUUGCAACUUCAAGGAGUAGGUAGUGCAGAGUUUUCGUCGACCUCGUCUUCUUCUUGAAUGGAUUCCAAGAGGAAUCACUGGUCUUUCUUAAUCCCUAGUCCACGGAGUCGGAAUCGUUUCCCUUGGUUUGGUGAGAUCCACGUGAAUCAAGACCAUUCUUCGUGCCAUAUAUGGUGGUGUAGAAGGAAGAAUGGCACGGAUCUCCUCACUGUUCUUUUGAAGCAAACCAGGAAGAUGGUGAUAAGGUAUAUUUUGGGUCCAAGACACGUCAUAAUCGAUGCCACGCUGCGUUACAGCCGAGUCAACAAGGGGAGCACCUCCACGCGCUAAGUCAGAAUCCGUACCAAGACGUUAUUUGGUAUGUCCCGUCCCGGAAGCUCGAGACGGCACCGUCUGACGCUGUUCCGCAUGUCCCGGGACGACGACCGUAUGAAAGUACUGUCUCAUCCCUCGAGGAUUAGCCACCACGCCAAACUCGUAUACGAUCGACCCUCGUACAGUAGUAUAAAAGCCCCUGGCCGGCAUCCGAUCAAGGGAGAGGACAAAAAAGAGAAAAACAACUACUAACUUGCUCGUUGGAGGGGCCAAAGUUGAGAAUCACUCGACGAAGGUCAUUUUUGCAGGAAAGCGGCCACCCUCGAGCCGCGAGCGUCUUGACCUAGGAGUUGUCAUCCAGUGUAUGAAGGCGAGCCGCUAACCAACCUGGAGACAGAGAGACACUGCUUAACAUCAAUGGCGUCCGGACCAAGAAACGCUGAUCAACACCCCGUCACCAGGGCCCAGCUGACCUCGGCAUCCAGCUCAGCCAACUGAAGACUCCCGAUAUCGACCCGUGGACCAGGCCGUGCUGACUCACCAGCCAUGGUACAUUAGUUCACCAACAUUUUUGGCACUAGAAGGAGGGCCAUGUCGCUGGAGCAUCCCGCAGGAGCUCUCCCCGAGGGAGAACCAUUGGUCGGUCACCCUUUUGCCGAGCUCGGAGAUCAACCCCUCCCCAUCCUUAGAGAUGGGGGAAUCCCGGCCUCGACACCAUAUCGCUAUUAGCGCCUGUUUAACGAUCCGGGGUUUUCUCCCCCCGGACUUACCACAGGACCCUCGGCCGUGUCGCCCGAGGCGUUCCUCAACCUGACCAAGCAAGUACAAGUAAUGGCGGGGAUGAUGCAGAUGCUCGUCCCACUCAUUCCCCAGAUCGUGCGACUAGCAGCUCCCCCGACUGACCCGACCCGACAAAGGCCGAGUAGGGAGCAGGUCAGGAAGGGAGAAGCCCAAGAGCAGAUGACAGAUCCGAGAGGUCUGCCCGAGUAAAGCAUACCCGCACCCUGUUGAAUCACAUCGCCCUACUCCGAGCAUGACACCAUAUCGUCCGACUCGGUGGGCGAUUUGUUCAGGAUCCAACUAUCCCGGGUCAACCAACGCUUGGACGAGUUCCAGAAGUCGCGGAGCGAGUCGAACGAAGGUAGCUCGGGCAGAUCCCCCUUUGCUCAAGAAGAGGAUCUCGGGCGUGCACGGAGCCUAGGUGGACGAGCUCCCUAGCGUCUUAUGGACAAUGCGAACAACUCUCAAAACUACCUCGGGAGAGUCUUCGUUUAGCCUGGUGUUCGGGACCGAAGCGGUCCUCCCACCCAAGAUGGUGUUCUCGACCCUACGCACCUCCAACUACGAACAAGAAGGCUCCGAGGAGGGCCUACGAGCAAAUCUAGACCUCAUCGAAGAAAGAAGAGCCAAGACACACCUGCGUACCCUGGUGUACAAGAAGGCAAUGGCUCGGAUAUACAACCGUAGAGUUCGUCCACGACCGAUCAAGGUCAGGGACCUCGUCCUUGGAAAGGCAGAGAUGAGUGGCCCGACGCAAGCGAGAGGAAAACUCGCGCCUAACUGGGAAGGCCCCUAUCGAGUCUGCGAUGUGGUCCGAGAAGGGACCCAUCGACUCGAGACCAUGGAGGGAACCACUCUGCCAAGGACAUGGAAUUCGACGAAUUUAAAGAAAUUUUAUCCGUAAAAACCGAAGUACGAGGCCUCGAAAAGACGCGUUUUAUCAAUUGAAAGAAGCAUGUACAUCCGCGAUAGAGAAAGACGAGAAGUCAGGAUUCCAAAAUAGGAGUUUUUAUUGAUAAAAAAAUAUACACAUUGUGGUUAGGCGAUACAGUUUCAAAACUUGACCCAACCAAAACAAAAGAGAAAGGGGAAGUACAGCCCUUAGUUCGGAGGGGGGGUCUCGAGCCCGUCAUCAAAGGGGACGCUCACCGGCAUGUCAACGUCCUGAUACUCCGGAUGGUCAGCAAACGGGUCCGACUCCAAUUCUAUGUCCGGAUACCUCUCUCGAAAGCGAGCAUAGGCCACCCGGUACUCGAACUCAUAUGUGACCCGCCCCGACCUCACCAAGCCGCGCUCGAACCUGGCGAAUGCCUUGUACUCAGCGAUCGCCCCCUCGAUCUUCUGGGGUAGCGCCAGCCGCUCCUCCUUCAGGACCUCUUCAGCGGCCUAAGCCGAAGACCUGACAGACUCGACAUCGUGGGAGAGGGUCAGCAGCUCAUCAUCCAACGUCCGGAUGCGUGACCGACUUUCCUCCAGCUCGGCCUUCAAGCAGCUCACCUCCUCGUCCAAAGCAGAGGCACGCUCUUCGGCCGCGGCAACGGCCUUCGGCCCCCCCCGGCCUUCAGCUUCAAGUUCUCCAGGCGAAGAGCAACGUAGGCGUCCGACUGAUGCUCGAUCACCCGCCCAACAUCGAGGACCCGGCCAUGGUGUAGUGUUGGAUCGAACAAGGAAAGAAAACCACCUGCACAAAGAUCGGCGUUAGGACCCACGCGAGAAAGGAUCGAACAAGGAAAGAAAACCACUACUUACCCAGACAAGUGACUUGGUCACCCGUUCUGCCAGCACUUCCGAGGGGGAGCAGUAAAGCUCCAUUGCCAUGGCUAGGUGAAGUGCCCCUCGGAUGAACUCUUGGGCAGUUGGCCCGUCGCCCCAGAUGCGACUAUCCGCAUUGAGAGUCGCCCACCGAGAGGUGUAGGGGGUUCCCGGCUCCCCAACCGUAAGGUCGGCCAUGUUCAAGGCCUGGUACUGCUCGUGGCCCGAGAGCGGACGCAGCAUAGGUCCCGCAUCGAUGUCGGGCGCGCCGGCGCCCUCCUGGAAGGGUCACUACCGGACGACCCAGCCACCCCCUUCCCCUUUGCGCUCCCCAAGCCCUUGCCUUGGGGAGCAACCCCGGAUGAUCUUGGGAUGGCACUCGCGUGAGCAGCCGAGUUCGCAGGCGUCUUCCAGACCAAGGUAUUUGCCUUCUUUGGAGGGCGACCCGCUUCCGGAGACCCGCUGUCCUUUUUGGUGUGCCCUUCUGCGGGGCAUCCCCAGCUCCGGGACCCUCGUCAUCCCGAGGCAGUGGCGCGACAGCCUUGGCGCUAGUUGUCUUCUUCACAGAUCAAAGAUCCACCAUCUCUAUAAAAAAAAAAACCAGUCGAUCAGAUAGCUCGGUACAAGUGGACAAUCCACCAUAUGCGAAUGACCAUACCCCCAGUGGUUGGGCUCAGUUCUGCUUCGACUAGCCACUCCUUGGUCAUCUCCCUGAUUGCCCGAGAAGAGGAUAAGAUGCCCCUCAGUUGAUUCACGUCCGUUGUUUCUCCGACAGAGAGCAACGGGGAGGUAUUAUCAAUGGUUCGGAAGGUCCAUCUAGUGCUGAAACCCCACCCCUAACUACAACUGACGAAAAAGAAGCGGCUCUUCCAACCUUUGUUGUUGGAAGGUGCACCGCUAAUCUUAAAACCGCUGCGGGCGGUCAGGUAAUACCCGCCCUGCCCCUUACACAGUUGGAAGUAGGCCAGGAAGAGGGUCUUGUUUGGCUCGAUCCCAGCCCCCUGACACCCCCCAAUAAAGGCCCACAGGUCCAAACCUUGCCCGAGUCGCUCUAGAUCAGUUCCCAACUUACGACUCACCGACACCAAACCUGAGCCCGAGUUCAGUCACUCAGCCCACAGGUCCAGCCCCUGCCCGGGUUGCUCCAGAUCGGUUCCCGACUUGCGACCCGCCGACACCAAAACCUGAGCCCGAGAUCAGUCACUCGGCCCAUAGGUCCAAACCUCGCCCGGAUCGCUCCAGAUCGGUUCCCGACUAGCAACUCGCCGACACCAAACCUGAGCCCGAGUUCAGUCACUCGGCCCACAGGUCCAGCUCCUACCCGGGUCGCUCCAGAUCGGUUCCCGACUUGUGAAUCGCCAGCACCAAACCUGAGCUCGAGUUCAAUCACUCGGCCCACGGGUUCAGCUCAUGCCCAGGUCACUCCAGAUCGGUUCCCAACUUGUGACUCGCUAGCACCAAACCUGAGCCCGAGUCUAGUCACUCGGCCCACAGGUCUAGCCCUUGCCCGGGGUCACUCCAGAUCGGUUCCCAACUUGUGACCCGCCGACACUAAAACUUGAGUAUGAUAUCAGUCACUCGGCCCGCAAGCCCAGUCUUUAACCGAGUCGCUCUAGCUCGGUCCUCGACUUGCGACUCGCCAAUCCCCUAUCGAGUCGCUCCAGCUCGAUCUCAGACUUGCGACUCGUCAAAUCUCUAACUGAGUCGCUCUAGCUCGAUCUCCAACUUGUGACUCGUUAAAUCUCUUACCGAGUCGCUCCAGCUCGAUCUUCGACUUGGGACUCGCCGGCCCUAACUCCGAGCCACGCCAAACUGGUUAUCCGACUUACAACACGUCGGUCUCAUCUCACAUAGUCCCAAUUGCCCGACCAACGGAGCCAACCUUUCCCAAGGCAUGGGACGCCGCCCCUCCAAAUUGCCUCGCGACGAGCCAAUCCAAUUUUCCCUCACAAGCAACCAAUACCUUCGCAGCACUCCGACCCGGGCAUGCCUCUCGCCCCCUCGCAGGGACCCCACGACACGCCUUGAUGGGGGGGGGGGGGAGGAGAAGUGAUAAGGUAUAUUUUAGGUUCAAGACACGUCAUAAUCGAUGCCACGCUAUGCUACAGCCGAGUCAGCAAGGGGAGCACCCCCACGCGCCAAGUCAGAAUCCGUACCAAGGUGUUGUUUGGUAUAUCCCAUCCCGGAAGCUCGGUACGAUGCCGUUUGGCGCCGUUCCGUGCUUCCCGGGACGGCGACCGCACAAAAGUAUCGUCUCAUCCCUCGAGGAACGGCCACCACGCCAAAACCGCAUACGACUAACCCUCGUACAGUAGUAUAAAAGCUCCUGGCCGGCAUCCGACUAGGGGAGAGGACAAAAAAGAGAAAAACAACUACUGACUUGCUUGUCGGAGGGGCCAAAGUCGAGAAUCACCCGACGAAGGUCAUUUUUGCAGGAAAGUGGCCACCCUCGAGCCGCGAGCGUCUCGACCCGGGAGUUGCCAUCUAGUGUAUGAAGGCGAGCCGCUAACCAGCCUGGAGACAGAGAGACGCUUCUCAAUAUCAACGAUGCCCGGACCGAGAAACGUUGAUCAACACCCCGUCGCAAGGGCCCGGCCGACCUCGACAUCCAGCUCAGCCGAUCGAAGGCUCCCGACAUCGACCCGUGGACCAGGCCGUGCUUACUCACCAGCCACGACACAUCACUUCACCAACAGAUGCAUCAACACAGUUUCUACAGAAACAUUCUUAUUAUCUAAGUUUGUAUCGAAUUGCAAUCUAUGGAAUCGUCGACGACAAGACCAAAGAACAUGACUGUUGCUGUUUGAGGUUGCGAGUCUUCCACUGCUCUCUGCGGAAUCCGUCGACGACGACGACGACGACGACGACGACGACGACGGAUCGAAUUCAUCCUCCCAGCUUGUGACUCUUGCUGGAUUGCUCUUACCAUAAAAGGUUCCAUCGCCUUUUGGUAGGCAGUUGCUUCAUCACUUUCUCCCCCUCAAGAUGAAACAGGAUAAUUCAGCAGUGCCAUCAGAGACUGAACUAACAAGCGACGAAUUAUUGGCCUACCUGCUCUAAAAUCUUGAGUCGAUGCAACACAAGUAGUACGUACAUGUUCUUGGUAUAGCUAUUGUUGGUACUUUGGUUUUCGGCAAGCACAAAAUCAGAUUGCAUGUCAUAGGGAACCUACGGGCAUCCAUCAGUGUCUUUAUCUAUUGGAAUUAAGGAUCACCAGAAGAAAGGACAACAGGGAACAUGUGGAAAAAUCUCAAUGUGUCAAAUUAAUCAAUCAAAUCCACAGUGGCCUUUUCAUUUGAUGUAUCCAUCAAAUGAUUCUUUGUCCCAGCAACCAAGACUAAUUAUGUAUGAAGUUUGAAAUGAAUCUUGUCAGAUGAUACAGUAGCUUGGUGUCAAUUCUACCCCAGUCUUGUUUGAUCCCAAAGGAAAACUAAGAAUACUGCGAGUACAACAUCCUCAUGCAUCAAAAGCAUCCAUCUCAUGGUAGUGGUAAAAGAGGCACAUCAUCGACUUGUUUUCAUCGUGAAAGUGAAGUAAAGACUGGCUGUAAGUUGGCCUCCUCCCCUUUCCUCCCCAUGCAAUAGAAGAAUAAGCAUUUCGGUGUGAGGCUUUAUGCUUUGCUUGUGCUGGGGUUGUUCAGCUUUAUUGAGGACGACAAUUAGGUUAAGUCGAGCAACAACAUUGAAUUCUUUUGUCUCAUUCUAUGCUCGCAACCAAUGAAGUGUUGCAGCACUGUCCCUUUCUUUGGGUACCCAACAAAAGCUUUCCCUUCCCACGGAAGCUGUUGGUUCCACCGGCUGGUGAGUCUUCGGGAACAAACCAAAAGGUUCAGCAGACAUUGCAGUGUAAAAAUUGUGUUUCUUACCGCAGUAACAGUGAUGGCUUAGACACAUUGAUCAUCCAUUGAGCAGUUCAGUGACAUCAAAAUUUUCAUGUUGUGGAUACACUAAGAUAUUUUCCUUCUCUUAGAAGAAAAGGCUUCAGAUGAUAGCUUCUUGGAUGCACCAAACCUAGCUAAUUGCUUCCAUUAGGAGACUGACCUAUGUAAUGACAUUACCAUGAAGACAGAUUUCUUGGUGGUGUUCCCCCAUCAAUGUUAUUUAUUACCAAGUUGGUUCAUCAAGGGAGUAUUGAAGCACUUAUAUCUGCAUCACCAAUUCACUCAGCAAUUGUGUACCUGCAGAUUUGUCAUUACUUGGAUAUACCUGUCCCUUUGCAAGCAUUCAUGGGGUUGAGGGACACUAAACACUACCUACUGUUUCUGGUGCCAUUUCUUCUGCCAGCCUGUGCGCACACAACAUGAAAUGUUGCUCAUUAUUGUUAGGGUGGACAUUAGAUGCAGAAUUUUAGAUCCAUCUGCGACUUGGAUACUUGACAACCCUGGAUUAGCCCAGCAUUUUGAUGGUAUUAGCUUGCAUCGGCUGUCCCAUGACUUUUGUCAUUUCUGAAAGAUACAUUCUAUAUAACGAAUAAAUGACAAGUGGCCACAGAGUUCUAUCACACCUUGAUUGCCCCCUUUUUUUUUCUUUUUUUCUUUUUCUUUUUCGUGGUAUGGAUGAGAUACACUGAUUUGAAUGAAUGAUACAUUGCAGUGUCAGUGGUUGUAGAUGGUUUCUUUCACUAAAUAAGUUUCCGAGGUGUUUCAGUCAACUUCAAUAAUCAUGUUCUGAAAAUUAAUUGUAGAGUUAAAAUAGGAAAAAGGUGGAUGGAAACAGCCACAUCAUUU